GAGUAAAGGCUCCGGCGCUCUGGGAGGGGCUUGCGGCCCAUCAGCUAGUUGGUAGGGUAAAGGCCUACCAAGGCGAAGACGGGUAGGGGGUGUGAGAGCACGACCCCCCACAAUGGGACUGAAACACGGCCCAUACUCCUACGGGAGGCAGCAGCAGGGAAUAUUGCACAAUGGGCGAAAGCCUGAUGCAGCGACGCCGCGUGAGUGAAGAAGGCCUUCGGGUCGUAAAGCUCUUUUGUAGGGGAAGAGGAAGGACGGUACCCUGAGAAAAAGCGUCGGCUAACUACGUGCCAGCAGCCGCGGUAAGACGUAGGACGCGAGCGUUAUCCGGAAUUACUGGGCGUAAAGGGCCAGCAGGCGGCUAGGUAAGUUGUGCGUGAAAGCCUCGUGCUCAACGCGAGGAAGCCGGACAAUACUGUCUAGCUGGAGGGCAUCAGAGGGGAGUGGAAUUCCCGGAGUAGCGGUAAAAUGCGCAGAUAUCGGGAGGAACACCGAUGGCGAAGGCAACUCCCUGGGGUGUACCUGACGCUAAGUGGCGAAAGCUAGGGGAGCGAACAGGAUUAGAGACCCUGGUAGUCCUAGCUGUAAACGCUGGGUGCUAGGUGUGGGGCGUAGAAGCUCUGUGCCGGAGCGAACGCGAUAAGCACCCCGCCUGGGAAUUACGGUCGCAAGGCUAAAACUCAAACGAAUUGACGGGGCCCCGCACAAGCAGCGGAGCGUGUGGUUCAAUUCGAUGCUACACGAAGAACCUUACCUGGGUUUGACAUGUACGUGGUAGAGAAGCGAAAGCGGAUUGACCCUUCGGGGAGCGUACACAGGUGCUGCAUGGCUGUCGUCAGCUCGUGCCGUGAGGUGUCGGGUUAAGUCCCGUAACGAGCGCAACCCUUGCCCUUAGUUACAAGUGUCUAGGGGGACUGCCGGCGGGAAGCCGGAGGAAGCUGGGGAUGACGUCAAGUCAGCAUGGCCCUUAUGUCCAGGGCUACACACACGCUACAAUGGUCAGUACAAAGGGUAGCGAAGCCGUGAGGUGG
rnacentral:rRNA from 1 species